CACCUCUGAAGGUCGCACCUGGAGAGUUGCCGGUACUCUACCAGUCUCGGCUACGGGAGGGAGAGCCAAGCAGAGACAUUCCCAUUCCAUUCCUAGCUUGGGUAGUGGUUAGCGAGUGGCAGGCAAUCUGCUACAAGU